UACGAAGGGUGCAAGCGUUACUCGGAAUUACUGGGCGUAAAGCGUGCGUAGGUGGUUUGUUAAGUCUGAUGUGAAAGCCCUGGGCUCAACCUGGGAACUGCAUUGGAAACUGGCUUACUAGAGUGCGGUAGAGGGGUGUGGAAUUCCCGGUGUAGCAGUGAAAUGCGUAGAUAUCGGGAGGAACAUCUGUGGCGAAGGCGACACCCUGGACCAGCACUGACACUGAGGCACGAAAGCGUGGGGAGCGAACAGG
rnacentral:rRNA from 1 species